UACGUAGGGUGCAAGCGUUAAUCGGAAUUACUGGGCGUAAAGCGUGCGCAGGCGGUUUUGUAAGUUUGUCGUGAAAUCCCCGGGCUCAACCUGGGAAUUGCGAUGAAGACUGCAAGGCUAGAAUCUGGCAGAGGGGGGUAGAAUUCCACGUGUAGCAGUGAAAUGCGUAGAGAUGUGGAGGAACACCGAUGGCGAAGGCAGCCCCCUGGGUCAAGAUUGACGCUC
rnacentral:rRNA from 1 species